UACAGAGGUCUCAACCGUUGUUCGGAUUCAUUGGGCGUAAAGGGUGCGUAGGCGGUCGCGCAAGUCGGAUGUGAAAUCUCAGGGCUCAACCCUGAAACUGCAUUCGAUACUGCGUGGCUAGAGUGCUGGAGAGGAGACUGGAAUUUACGGUGUAGCAGUGAAAUGCGCAGAUAUCGGGAGGAACACCGGUGGCGAAGGCGGUUCUCUGGGCCUUACCUGACGCUGAGGAGCGAAAGCGUGGGGAGCGAACAGG
rnacentral:rRNA from 1 species